CAACAGUGAGACUGGGCAGAGAUUUUGUUCUGGGAUAUUCUUGAUAUCCUCCAGUGUAGCUAAUUGCUGUUUCUUCUCAUAUAUUAUUUGGACUUUGUUUCAUACUAUUCUACUGUAUUUACGUGAUGUUGGGUGUGGUGCCUAGGAAUUCAGUUUUUCCCCUAUAAUGGAGUGGUCCGCUGACUGCAGAAGGGAUGGAUCAAUUACAUGCAGGAAAGUUGAAACUGUCCACAAUGUGAACUUGCGUGUUAUGAAUAACCCAUUUAUAUUUAUAAUUUUGGUUCCAGGAUCAAGGCAAGAUUGCCUUUUAGGAAGGUUUUGAGUGACAGAACAAUGCUCAAUUAUUUAAACAUCUUGCCCUUGUUAUUUGUGUGGGUGGAUUUGACACUAUGAGGCACUUCCUUUCUUUGAACUUGUUGUUUCUGACAGUAACACAAAAUGAAAGUAAUUAAUAGCUAUUAUACUGUAUGCUGAUGUCAAAAGCAUUUACAGAAAUCUUUUUCUUAUAAGAUGUGGUUUGUAGGCUCUGUUGCACAGUGCAGUAGCUUUAGAGAAACCCGUCGAUGUUCCUAUAUAUCUUCAUUCCUCAUGCAACCAUGGACAUUCACAUGUGGUUGUAAAGUCCUGAGCAUGUCGGGCAAGCUUCUAUUUUCAGUACCUAGCCAGUUUCUGUUAGGUGAGCCUCUCAUUUUUCUGUUUACUUGAUUUUCCUAUGUCCUUCACAGCCUCAACCAUGAAGCAAAACCUCUACUCGCUGUCAGAAACACUCCCUCCAUAUUAAAAAAAAAAAAUCACUAAUCAUUUAGGAGAUUCUUCUAAGCUGCCAGCCCUUGGCCUGGUGGUGAGACUUCAGCUCUGAGGUGUAGCACAAGGCGUGUGCUACCAGUGUGCCCCAGGGGGGUGAAAUUUCAAAGUGCUGUACUGAACUCAGGAAAAACAGGAACUCCUGUAGAGGUUCUGCUGGUAAUCUGACUCCUGUCAGAUAACCAGUGUCAGUGCCGGCAGGACAAAGGCUUCGUGAACCCCCCAGCUGCUGUUUACGGAAGAAUAGGAUGGAUGAAGCAGAUUGCUUUGCAUAGCAAACAGGCUAAAAGUGUUAUAGUCCUGUUCUUCGGGGGCCUGUAGGUCUGCAGGUGUUGGCAGCACUCCUGCCUUGACCCCACCUGACUGCACUAAUGAACCCUCCUCCCAACUGAAGGACGGCCACGUCGGACCAGAUAUCACCAAGCGCUGCAUGAACUGGCUCAAAGACCCAGCAGCACAUCUCAAGACCAGCGUCCGGUCCUGAGAGGAGUCACUUGCAACUAGCUGCAACUUCUGCGGGCCGGCACCGCACCAGCCUCACCAUGAGAAAAAUCUCUUCAGCAAGCAUCUCUUCUUGGGGCAGCCUGUGUAAGCUUCUGAGAGCCUCUGAACUGAGCAGACUGACAGCAAGCAGUUAGCAGUAGACCGGCCCACUGUACAGCACCGCCUUGCGGGAAUGCUGGGACUCAGGAGUCACCCAUCCCAGCAUUAGUCGCCAGUGUCGGACUUCUUGCUCAGUCUCUGACUCACUGGGUCUCCGGUCACUUCGAUGCUAAACGAGAGGGAUGUGUUUUGUUUUUGAGCGGAUGAUUUUGUGAGUCACGGUCAGCCAUCUAAGCUG